UAAUACAGAGGGUGCGAGCGUUGUUCGGAAUUAUUGGGCGUAAAGCGCGCGUAGGCGGGAUGGCAAGUCGGGUGUGAAAGCCCUCAGCUCAACUGAGGAAGUGCGCCCGAAACUACUGUUCUUGAGUGUCGGAGAGGGUGGCGGAAUUCCCGGUGUAGAGGUGAAAUUCGUAGAUAUCGGGAGGAACACCAGAGGCGAAGGCGGCCACCUGGACGAACACUGACGCUGAGGCGCGAAAGCGUGGGGAGCAAACAGGAUUAGAUACCCUGGUAGUCCACGCCGUAAACGAUGAGUGCUAGCUGUAGCGGGUAUUGACCCCUGCUGUGGCGAAGCUAACGCAUUAAGCACUCCGCCUGGGAAGUACGGCCGCAAGGCUA
rnacentral:rRNA from 1 species